rnacentral:rRNA from 1 species
AGAGUUUGAUCAUGGCUCAGGACGAACGCUGGCGGCAUGCCUAAUACAUGCAAGUCGAACGCUGAAGCACUCUGCUUGCAGAGUGCGGAUGAGUGGCGAACGGGUGAGUAACACGUGGGAAAUCUGCCUAUAAGUGGGGGAUAACAUUCGGAAACGGAUGCUAAUACCGCAUAUAUUCUCGAACCGCAUGGUUCUUGAAAGAAAGACGGCUUUGCUGUCGCUUAUAGAUGAUCCCGCGGCGUAUUAGUUAGUUGGUGGGGUAAAGGCCUACCAAGACAAUGAUACGUAGCCGACCUGAGAGGGUGAUCGGCCACACUGGGACUGAGACACGGCCCAGACUCCUACGGGAGGCAGCAGUAGGGAAUCUUCCACAAUGGGCGAAAGCCUGAUGGAGCAAUGCCGCGUGAAUGAAGAAGGUCUUCGGAUCGUAAAGUUCUGUUAUUAGAGAAGAACAAGUCAAGGAGUAACUGUCUUGACUUUGACGGUACCUAACCAGAAAGUCACGGCUAACUACGUGCCAGCAGCCGCGGUAAUACGUAGGUGACGAGCGUUGUCCGGAAUUAUUGGGCGUAAAGGGAGCGCAGGCGGUUGGAAUAGUCUGAUGUGAAAGCCCACGGCUUAACCGUGGAAGGUCAUUGGAAACUGUCCAACUUGAAUGCAGAAGAGGUAAGUGGAAUUCCAUGUGUAGCGGUGAAAUGCGUAGAUAUAUGGAGGAACACCAGUGGCGAAGGCGACUUACUGGUCUGUAAUUGACGCUGAGGCUCGAAAGCGUGGGUAGCGAACAGGAUUAGAUACCCUGGUAGUCCACGCCGUAAACGAUGAGUGCUAAGUGUUAGGGGGUUUCCGCCCCUUAGUGCUGGAGUUAACGCAUUAAGCACUCCGCCUGGGGGAGUACGGUCGCAAGACUGAAACUCAAAUGAAUUGACGG